rnacentral:miRNA from 1 species
GCAAGUUUUUCACCUUGGUUAUU